rnacentral:rRNA from 1 species
UGCAAGCGUUAUCCGGAUUCACUGGGUUUAAAGGGUGCGUAGGUGGGUUGGUAAGUCAGUGGUGAAAUCCCCGAGCUUAACUUGGGAACUGCCAUUGAUACUAUCAGUCUUGAAUACUGUGGAGGUCAGCAGAAUAUGUCAUGUAGCGGUGAAAUGCUUAGAUAUGAUAUAGAAUACCAAUUGCGAAGGCAGCUGGCUACACAAAUAUUGACACUGAGGCACGAAAGCGUGGGGAUCAAACAGG